rnacentral:rRNA from 1 species
AUUGAACGCUGGCGGCAGGCCUAACACAUGCAAGUCGAGCGGAUGAAAGGGGCUUGCUCCUGGAUUCAGCGGCGGACGGGUGAGUAAUACGCAGGAAUCUACCUAGUAGUGGGGGAUAACGUUUCGAAAGGGGCGCUAAUACCGCAUACGUUCUGAGGAAGAAAGCAGGGGAUCGCAAGACCUUGCGCUAUUAGAUGAGCUUGCGUCCGAUUAGCUAGUUGGUGGGGUAAAGGCCUACCAAGGCGACGAUCGGUAACUGGUCUGAGAGGAUGAUCAGUCACACUGGAACUGAGACACGGUCCAGACUCCUACGGGAGGCAGCAGUGGGGAAUACUGGACAAUGGGGGCAACCCUGAUCCAGCCAUGCCGCGUGUGUGAAGAAGGCCU